rnacentral:rRNA from 1 species
AGCGGCGGACGGGUGAGUAAUGCCUGGGAAUAUGCCCUGAUGUGGGGGAUAACUAUUGGAAACGAUAGCUAAUACCGCAUAAUCUCUUCGGAGCAAAGAGGGGGACCUUCGGGCCUCUCGCGUCAGGAUUAGCCCAGGUGGGAUUAGCUUGUUGGUGAGGUAAUGGCUCACCAAGGCAACGAUCCCUAGCUGGUCUGAGAGGAUGAUCAGCCACACUGGAACUGAGACACGGUCCAGACUCCUACGGGAGGCAGCAGUGGGGAAUAUUGCACAAUGGGGGAAACCCUGAUGCAGCCAUGCCGCGUGUGUGAAGAAGGCCUUCGGGUUGUAAAGCACUUUCAGUAGGGAGGAAGGUAGUGUAGUUAACACCUGCAUUAUUUGACGUUACCUACAGAAGAAGCACCGGCUAACUCCGUGCCAGCAGCCGCGGUAAUACGGAGGGUGCGAGCGUUAAUCGGAAUUACUGGGCGUAAAGCGCAUGCAGGCGGCCUGUUAAGUCAGAUGUGAAAGCCCGGGGCUUAACCUCGGAAUUGCAUUUGGAACUGGCAGG